rnacentral:lncRNA from 1 species
GCCAAGAUAUGUCAAGAUUCUAUUGGAUUUACUGGUAAAAACAUGUGCUAUCAGAAUUGUCUGACCUUCGUUGAUGUAUACUUCACCGAUGUGUGAAUCAACGGAUGAAAACCCUAUGGGGAAGAUUAUCAAGGCUGAUUGGCCUUCGUUGAUGUGUGAAUCAAUGGAACAUUGCGUUGUGAGCAGAUUGUCAAGGCUGCUUGACCUUCGUUGAUAAGUGUGUCAACGAAACAUUGCGUUGUGACCCUCGUCGGGGAUCCAUUGGGGAAUAUGAAUACCAACGUACGCAAUCAUCGAACAACUUUUG